CACUGGUCAAGAGUUGUUGCCAUUCUCUUGAUGAGUCUAAGGCAUGACGAUACCAGUG
rnacentral:sRNA from 1 species